UUUGGUAGAGAGAGGAGGGGAGAAGGAAGAAAAACAAGGCUAGAAAGGUGAAAAAAAUCCUUUUGAGCAAAAAUAGUUAUUUUUAUUGAGUAAAAAAUUUUGUUUCAUAAAGUUGAUCGGCUAAUCAAAAUUUUUGAGCUACUGGCGACGUUUUUUGGUGGUGGUUGAUUUCAACGAAACUCGUAGUCUCGUUUUGCUG
rnacentral:lncRNA from 1 species